rnacentral:rRNA from 1 species
UACGAAGGGGGCUAGCGUUGCUCGGAAUCACUGGGCGUAAAGGGUGCGUAGGCGGGUCUUUAAGUCAGGGGUGAAAUCCUGGAGCUCAACUCCAGAACUGCCUUUGAUACUGAAGAUCUUGAGUUCGGGAGAGGUGAGUGGAACUGCGAGUGUAGAGGUGAAAUUCGUAGAUAUUCGGAAGAACACCAGUGGCGAAGGCGGCUCACUGGCCCGGUACUGACGCUGAGGUGCGAAAGCGUGGGUAGCAAACAGG